UACGAAGGGGGCAAGCGUUGUUCGGAUUCACUGGGCGUACAGGGUGUGUAGGCGGUUUGGUAAGUCUUCUGUUAAAGCUUCGGGCCCAACCCGGAAAGCGCAGAGGGUACUGCCAGGCUAGAGGGCGGGAGAGGUGCGCGGAAUUCCCGGUGUAGCGGUGAAAUGCGUAGAUAUCUGGAGGAACACCGGUGGCGAAGGCGGCGUCCUGGACCAACACUGACACUGAGGCGCGAAAGCGUGGGGAGCAAACGGG
rnacentral:rRNA from 1 species